GAUUUAUGAUUUAGUAUAGCGAUACCUACUUAUAUGAAAGCUGUCAUCCCGGUGAAUUUUUCGUCUGCUAGAGUUUAAAAAUGGUUGUUUGUUUAUGUUUUGGUUCAAUACGAAUGUACUGAAUAAAAUUAGAAGAUUUCGAAUAAAGUACACUGUUCAUACUGCAGAAAUUUUAAAGAAAUAAAUAAUUAUUGCAGAAAAUAUGCGUACAAUCAAACAGAAGACCUUGAUACGAGGUUUACAUGUCUAUAAAAGACAAGUAAAGCCAGGAGAUAUUUUAAGUUGUAAACUUGACCAAUUCUGGAUGUUGGAAAACCCCAGUCGAUACAGCAUUGCUGUCUAAGAUUCGUUUAACCGAACGGUUGGACAUAUUGCCAAAGAAUGGGAAUAUUCCUUGGGCCCUUUAAUCGAGUUUAAAAGAAAGGAGGUGGAGGUUAGAAUUCCUCCAGAGGCCAAAAUUCACAACUUUGGCGAGGGACCCCAAAUUGAAUGCGAGAUAAGCUUCCCGUUUGACAAGAACCUAGAUUUUGUCUGGCUAAGAGUGUACAGGGAGGAGGUUCGGAAGCAAGGAGGAAUAAUCCUAGGAGUGAGGACUAAAUUCAUUUUUGACCAAAAUCUACUUAUUUAAACAAUUGAUGUAAACAACUAUUUUUUAUUUAAACAAUAAAUUUACAAUAUA